AGAGUUUGAUCCUGGCUCAGAUUGAACGCUGGCGGCAUGCUUACACAUGCAAGUCGAACGCGAAAGUAGGGGCAACCCUGCGAGUAGAGGGCGAACGGGUGAGUAACACAUCGGAACGUACCCGGAGUGGGGGACAACCUCGAGAAAUCGAGGCUAAUACCGCAUACGUCCUGAGGGAGAAAGCGGGGGAUCUGAAAGGACCUCGCGCUCAUGGAGCGGCCGAUGUCGGAUUAGCUAGUUGGCGGGGUAAGAGCCCACCAAGGCUACAUCCGUAGCUGGUUUGAGAGAACGACCAGCCACACUGGGACUGAGACACGGCCCAGACUCCUACGGGAGGUAGCAGUGGGGAAUUUUGGACAAUGGGGGCAACCCUGAUCUAGCCAUGCCGCGUGAGUGAAGAAGGCCUUCGGGUUGUAAAGCUCUUUCGGCCGGAACGAAAUCGCGUACGUGAAUAACGUGCGUGAUGACGGUACUGGAAGAAGAAGCACCGGCUAACUACGUGCCAGCAGCCGCGGUA
rnacentral:rRNA from 1 species